GGGAGGGGCGGGGGCGCGCUGUGGUGCGGGGCUCGGCGCGGUGCCCGCCGCCGUGUGGGGAGCGGGGGCCGCCGCCGCCCUUCGCCUGAGGGGAGCCGAGCGGAGCGGAGGGGGCCGGCGGCGGUUGGGGCAGAGUGAAAUUCCAUUUAAGAGACGUCUGACUAUUAAGAUAACCCGUUCCAGUGACAGCAUGUAAAGUGAAGUUCCUCUACAGAACUUGGCGGCCAGCUGGAGUAGUUAAAGAAGACCUGAAGCAAUGCUGGGAGCGCUCAAUGCUCCAUAUGAUUAUGGCUGCGCACCUUUUGCCCCCAACUGCCAUCUGCAUUUUCACUGGACCCAACCCUGUAAGCAAAUCAUCAAGCAGUGGAGGCUUGAGGUCUGGCUGCUCAAAGAAACUGCUAUCAUUUUACGAGGAAACAUGGCCUCGCUUGCACCAAAAUCUUUCCUUCCUGCAUUCCUCCUACCACAGCUGGCUGACAUCCUGCACAGAGCAGGCUGCUGAGCAGAGACAAAAUACACAACAUCUGCUGCCUUGCAUCUCUCAGCUUUUUCCACAGCAGCAAGCAUUAUGCAGUUCCCAGAGUGAAUUACUUGAUGGGAAGAAAAGAGGCAUCCUUUGGGGAUUCUGUGAUAAAACUGCUUCAAACAAAUGAACAAAAACUAUGACAGAAAUUCUACUAUCCAUCUGACUGUAGAUUUUUGCAUUACAAAGUUCUUGCGGUCCCAUCUCCACAUCACGCUGCAAAUCCACUGCAGUGACAGGCUGUGUCCAUCCGGCCUUCCAGUUGGACUGCUGAUCAGAUCAAUCUGUGACUAUUUGUCCAGUUCCAGAAAAGCCAUUUUUUGUUUUCAGUUGGUACAUCUCACUGUCACUCACUAUCCACUCUCUUCAAGCUGUCACAACUGCUUUUGGCCAAGCCUAAGCCUGAGAAGAAGGGACCAAAUACUGGCUGAGUCACUUCUGUUGCGUGCCAGCGAGUCGCUUGUUCACUGAUUGGCCACCUGCUUUUGAUCUACGUUAUAUCAUACCAGGGAGCUGCUCCAGCUGGCCAGGGACUGGGGAAUGCGGGCUGUAGUCAAGGAUACCUGCAAAGCACUGGGAACUGCAGCGAAGAGGCUUUGGAGAGAGAUGCAGAGAAAGGCAAAUCAGAGGGAAGACGAGGGAAAAAUAGAGGCAAGGAGCCAAUUUCUGAUCUCAGCAUCACUGAUGUCACCAGUCAGAAUCUGGUCCUCAGAGUGCUGAGGAAAGGAGAAUAGAAGCAGGUCAGAGGAGAAGGCGACAGACAAGCCGAGGUGACAGAGAGGAGAUAAUUAAUCAUGUCUCAGCUGUAAUCUUAAUGACUACUCUGCUUUAACACUUUUAAUGCCUCUUUCUUAGCCAAGAGCGCAAAAUUAAUAAAACGUUUCCAAGAGGGGAUGGGCA
rnacentral:lncRNA from 1 species